GGGCGGCCCCCCCGGGCGGCCGGCAGCGCUCCCCGCCCCGGCCGGGGGCUCCAGCUGUGGCACAGCUGCCUCGGCGGGCGGACGGGGGUGGGGGGAGGAAGGGGGCAAGUUAUUAUCUGCAACAAUACCUCGGGGGAGGAGGCAGCGGAGGCGAGCGCGGCGGCGGCGGCGGGAGGAGGCGGCGGGGGGCGGGCCGGGGGCGGCACCGGGACCGCCCCCCGGGACCGCCCCCGGCCCCGCCGCCGGCCCCUUCCUUCCGCCCGGCGGCCCCUUCCGCGCCCCGCGCCGCUGCCCCGCAGCGUCCCCCGGACGGCCCCUCCCGCGCUCCCGGCUCGGGUACCCCCGCGCCGCGCCCGCCGCUUCCCCCAGGCAGCCCCUCCCGCGCUCCGCCCCGCACAUCCCUCCCUCCGGUCCGGCAGCCCCUCCGCAUCCCCCCUGGCCGCGGCACUCCCGCAUCCCUCCGUCCGCGCCCCCCCCCCCCGGCCCUUACCUCCCCUGGGGCGCAGGGAGGGGCGGCCGGCGGCCCCGAGCUCGGCGGGACGGCCCCGAAACAAAAAGCGAAAGCGGCGGCUGCUGCCUCCCGCUCUGCCGGGCUGCCGCGCUCUGCCCGCGGCUGACGUCAAGGGCCCGAAUUCCUGCCUUUCCCUGCAGGCAGAUUUGUCCAUUAGCUGUUCGGUGUCUGCAUCUGCCCUGAAGAGAACUGGAAGACAGAAGGGUUACAUUGUGUUCAGGCUGUGGAGGGGAGCGUUGCCAAGCUUAAUUCAUUUGGAAAGAGAUUUCUGGGAUGAUUGUUCCUGA
rnacentral:lncRNA from 1 species